GGGGAUAUAGCUCAAUGGUAGAGCACUUGCCUAACAUGCAUUAAGUCCUGGGUCUGAUCCCCAGCACCACCA
rnacentral:tRNA from 1 species